rnacentral:rRNA from 1 species
GUAACGCAUCGGAACGUGUCCCGUAGUGGGGGAUAACCCAUCGAAAGAUGGGCUAAUACCGCAUACGACCUGAGGGAGAAAGCCGGGGAUCGCAAGACCUGGCGCUAUGGGAGCGGCCGAUGUCCGAUUAGCUAGUUGGUGGGGUAAAAGCCCACCAAGGCGACGAUCGGUAGCUGGUCUGAGAGGAUGAUCAGCCACACUGGGACUGAGACACGGCCCAGACUCCUACGGGAGGCAGCAGUGGGGAAUUUUGGACAAUGGGGGAAACCCUGAUCCAGCCAUGCCGCGUGAGUGAAGAAGGCCUUCGGGUUGUAAAGCUCUUUCGGCCGGAACGAAAUCGCAUUCUUUAACAGAGGGUGUGGAUGACGGUACCGGAAGAAGAAGCACCGGCUAACUACGUGCCAGCAGCCGCGGUAAUACGUAGGGUGCGAGCGUUAAUCGGAAUUACUGGGCGUAAAGCGUGCGCAGGCGGUUACAUAAGCCAGAUGUGAAAUCCCCGGGCUUAACCUGGGAACUGCAUUUGGGACUGUGUGGCUUGAGUAUGGCAGAGGGAGGUGGAAUUCCACGUGUAGCAGUGAAAUGCGUAGAGAUGUGGAGGAACACCGAUGGCGAAGGCAGCCUCCUGGGCCAAUACUGACGCUCAUGCA